CCUACGGGAGGCAGCAGUGGGGGAUAUUGCACAAUGGGGGAAACCCUGAUGCAGCGACGCCGCGUGUGGGAAGACGGUCCUCUGGAUUGUAAACCACUGUCCCCAGGGACGAAGAUGACGGUACCUGGGGAGGAAGCUCCGGCUAACUACGUGCCAGCCGCCGCGGUAAUACGUAGGGAGCGAGCGUUGUCCGGAAUUACUGGGUGUAAAGGGAGCGUAGGCGGGACUGCAAGUUGGGUGUCAAAUCUACGGGCUCAACCGGUAGCCGCACUCAAAACUGCAGUUCUUGAGUGAAGUAGAGGCAGGCGGAAUUCCUAGUGUAGCGGUGAAAUGCGUAGAUAUUAGGAGGAACACCAGUGGCGAAGGCGGCCUGCUGGGCUUUUACUGACGCUGAGGCUCGAAAGUGUGGGGAGCAAACAGGAUUAGAUACCCGGGUAGUC
rnacentral:rRNA from 1 species